GGGGCUAUGGCGCAGUUGGUAGCGCGCUUCGUUCGCAUCGAAGAGGUCAGGAGUUCGAAUCUCCUUAGCUCCACCCACA
rnacentral:tRNA from 1 species